CGCAUGGACGAAGUCUGACGGAGCAACGCCGCGUGAGUGAUGAAGGUUUUCGGAUCGUAAAACUCUGUUGUUAGGGAAGAACAAGUACCGUUCGAAUAGGGCGGUACCUUGACGGUACCUAACCAGAAAGCCACGGCUAACUACGUGCCAGCAGCCGCGGUAAUACGUAGGUGGCAAGCGUUGUCCGGAAUUAUUGGGCGUAAAGCGCGCGCAGGCGGUUUCUUAAGUCUGAUGUGAAAGCCCCCGGCUCAACCGGGGAGGGUCAUUGGAAACUGGGGAACUUGAGUGCAGAAGAGGAGAGUGGAAUUCCACGUGUAGCGGUGAAAUGCGUAGAGAUGUGGAGGAACACCAGUGGCGAAGGCGACUCUCUGGUCUGUAACUGACGCUGAGGCGCGAAAGCGUGGGGAGCGAACAGGAUUAGAUACCCUGGUAGUCCACGCCGUAAACGAUGAGUGCUAAGUGUUAGAGGGUUUCCGCCCUUUAGUGCUGCAGCAAACGCAUUAAGCACUCCGCCUGGGGAGUACGGUCGCAAGACUGAAACUCAAAGGAAUUGACGGGGGCCCGCACAAGCGGUGGAGCAUGUGGUUUAAUUCGAAGCAACGCGAAGAACCUUACCAGGUCUUGACAUCCUCUGACAACCCUAGAGAUAGGGCUUCCCCUUCGGGGGCAGAGUGACAGGUGGUGCAUGGUUGUCGUCAGCUCGUGUCGUGAGAUGUUGGGUUAAGUCCCGCAACGAGCGCAACCCUUGAUCUUAGUUGCCAGCAUUCAGUUGGGCACUCUAAGGUGACUGCCGGUGACAAACCGGAGGAAGGUGGGGAUGACGUCAAAUCAUCAUGCCCCUUAUGACCUGGGCUACACACGUGCUACAAUGGGCAGAACAAAGGGCAGCGAAGCCGCGAGGCUAAGCCAAUCCCACAAAUCUGUUCUCAGUUCGGAUCGCAGUCUGCAACUCGACUGCGUGAAGCUGGAAUCGCUAGUAAUCGCGGAUCAGCAUGCCGCGGUGAAUACGUUCUCGGGCCUUGUACACACCGCCCGUCACACCACGAGAGUUUGUACACCCGAAGUCGUUGAGGUAACCUUUUGGAGCAGCCGCCAAGUGGGACGUGAUGGGUGAGUA
rnacentral:rRNA from 1 species